rnacentral:tRNA from 2 species
CGGGGCGUGGCGCAGUCCGGCAGCGCACUUGACUGGGGGUCAAGAGGUCGUCGGUUCAAAUCCGACCGCCCCGACCA